AUGUCCCCACGUACACGCCGGUUCCUCCGCGCCGUCCGCACCGAUCUGACGGUUGCUCGCUCCGUUUUGUUAGCC
rnacentral:sRNA from 1 species